AUGCCUCAUUCUCUUCCUGUUGAGGUGGGAAACCCCUUGGUUGUCAAUCAGUUUAGUUUGAAACCCCUGGUCGAGCUUCUUCUGUGGAUUCCCGGUUGAUUCUCUGGUAUCUGGUCUUGCAGCUUCUCUUGCUGCUCUUCUCUUUUCCACUCAGAAGCUGUCGAGUAUCUCCGCACCUCUGCUUGAAGAAGAUUCCCUUGCUACUUCAUCUACUGAAAUUGACAUCUUACAAAAACUUGCAUCUCCAACUAUGAACUCCUACUCUAGCUACUACUUUAUGCCCGCUUCUCUUACUUAA